UUAGUGGCGGACGGGUGAGUAACGCGUGGAUAACCUGCCUUACACUGGGGGAUAACACUUAGAAAUAGGUGCUAAUACCGCAUAAGCGCACGGUUCCGCAUGGAACAGUGUGAAAAACUCCGGUGGUAUACGAUGGAUCCGCGUCUGAUUAGCCAGUUGGCGGGGUAACGGCCCACCAAAGCGACGAUCAGUAGCCGGCCUGAGAGGGUGAACGGCCACAUUGGGACUGAGACACGGCCCAAACUCCUACGGAAGGCAGCAG
rnacentral:rRNA from 1 species